rnacentral:rRNA from 1 species
UACGGGGGGGGCAAGCGUUGUUCGGAAUUACUGGGCGUAAAGGGCGCGUAGGCGGCCAUCUAAGUAGACGUGAAAUCCCUCGGCUCAACCGAGGAACUGCGUCUGAUACUGGAAGGCUUGAAUCCGGGAGAGGGAUGUGGAAUUCCAGGUGUAGCGGUGAAAUGCGUAGAUAUCUGGAGGAACACCGGUGGCGAAGGCGGCAUCCUGGACCGGUAUUGACGCUGAGGCG